CAAGGAUUCCUUUAGUAACGGCGAGUGAACAGGGAGAAGCCCAGCGCUGAAUCUCUCGAUGUUACAUCGUUGAGAAAUGUAGCGUAUAGAUGUGACUAUCAGUUUGUGCUACAUAUCCAAAGUCCCUUUGAUAGGGGCCAUAUUCCUGAGAGGGUGCGAGACCUGUGCGGAUAGUGGAGCAAGCUGUACGGUCAUAUCUUGGAGUCGGGUUGCUUGAAAAUGCAGCCUAAAGUGGGUGAUAAACUUCAUCUAAGGCUAAAUAUAGACGCGAAUUCGAUAGCAAACAAGUACUGUGAAGGAAAGUUGCAAAGAACUUUGAAGAGAGAGUUCAAGAGAACGUGAAAUCGCUGGAGUGGAACCGGAGAGAGUUGACGUAGUCGGGUAACUAAAAUCACCGGAAUCGCUUAAAUGUGAUCGAGGCGUUUCUAUGUUGCCUAUGACUGCGCUGACAGCACUGGCUGUGCGUUCCGAACCGUUUUCGUUGCCCAUCGUUUUCACUACGAUGGUGUCUUGUUUACGGGUAGGUUUGUCAUAUGAUGCUAGUGUUUUAUCCUGCUUCUAAGGUAGGGUGUCAGUGUGAAAGUCGACCACCUCUCCGACCCGUCUUGAAACACGGACCGAGGAGUGUAACUUGUACGCGAGUCAAAGGGUGAAAAACCCCACGGCGAAAUGAAAGUAAAGGUCGGUUAACCGGCUAACAUGGGAUCCGUUUCAUUUUCGUAACAACGGCGCACCAUGGCCCUGUCUCGCCUGCUUGCAGAUGGGCAGCGGUAGAGCGUACAGGUUGCGACCCGAAAGA
rnacentral:rRNA from 1 species